AUGGAGCUGCUCGUCAAGGUUCGACGCGCGGUUGCUGCUGGAGCGGCUGCGCAACAAGAGGCUGAUCUUCGUGGGGGACUCCUGAACCAGAACCAGUGGGAGUCGACGGUGUGCCUGGUGUCGUCGGCGAUCCCGUCGCGCGACCAAAAGUCCCUGGCCAAGUUCGUGGGGCCCAACGGCUCUCUCAACGUGUUCACGGCAGCGGAGUACAACGCGACGGUGGAGUUCUACUGGGCGCCGUUCCUGGUCAGCUCCAACUCGGACGACCCCCAGGCGCACAGCGUGGUGGACCGCGUCAUCGCCUGGCUGUCCAUCGCCAAGCACACCCGGCACUGGCGCGCCGCCCACUUCCUCAUCUUCAACACCUACAUCUGGUGGCUCAACAACUUCGAGAUGAAAGUGUUGAAGAAUCCUCGGGCGUUGCCGGACAAGUACACGCUGGUGGAUCGGCCGGUGGCGUACAAGGAGGUGCUCAAGACGUGGGCAAAUUGGGUGGACCGCGGCGGAGGAGACGAGAGAAGGCCACCGUAG
rnacentral:rRNA from 1 species